UACGAAGGGGGCGAGCGUUGUUCGGAAUCACUGGGCGUAAAGGGCGCGUAGGCGGCCCUCCUAGUCGCGUGUGAAAGCCCCGGGCUCAACCUGGGAACGGCGCGCGAAACGGGGGGGCUGGAGUUCGGGAGAGGAGCGUGGAAUUCUCAGUGUAGAGGUGAAAUUCGUAGAUAUUCGCAAGAACACCAGUGGCGAAGGCGGCUCACUGGCCCGGUACUGACGCUGAGGUGCGAAAGCGUGGGGAGCAAACAGG
rnacentral:rRNA from 1 species